ACACACAGGAUAUGGGCAAAGAGACACCUUGUUAGUGGUGAUGUUCUUAUUUAUUAUAUCAGUCAGGGUCAGAGCAGAUUGCAGUCCUUUGUUCAUCCUAGCUUGACGCCUGGCUUGGUGGCCAAAGCUGUUUUAUGCCUAGGACACAUAC